rnacentral:rRNA from 1 species
GAGGAAUAUUGGUCAAUGGGCGGAAGCCUGAACCAGCCAUCCCGCGUGAAGGAAGACUGCCCUAUGGGUUGUAAACUUCUUUUCUGCACCAAGAAAGUGCCCUACGUGUAGGGUAUUGCCGGUAGUGCAGGAAUAAGCAUCGGCUAACUCCGUGCCAGCAGCCGCGGUAAUACGGAGGAUGCGAGCGUUAUCCGGAUUUAUUGGGUUUAAAGGGUGCGUAGGCGGCCUAUUAAGUCAGUGGUGAAAUCCUGCCGCUUAACGGUAGAACAGCCAUUGAUACUGAUGGGCUUGAGUUUGGUUGAGGUAGGCGGAAUGUGUUGUGUAGCGGUGAAAUGCUUAGAUAUGACACAGAACACCGAUUGCGAAGGCAGCUUACCAAGCCAUUACUGACGCUGAUGCACGAAAGCGUGGGGAGCGAAC